rnacentral:rRNA from 1 species
UACGUAGGGCGCAAGCGUUGUCCGGAAUUAUUGGGCGUAAAGAGCUCGUAGGUGGCUUGUUGCGUCUGCCGUGAAAGCCCGUGGCUUAACUCGGAAUGGUCAGGUGAUACUGCUUUGCUAGAGUGCAGAAGGGGCAAUCGGAAUUCUUGGUGUAGCGGUGAAAUGCGUAGAUAUCAAGAGGAACACCUGAGGUGAAGACGGGUUGCUGGGCUGACACUGACGCUGAGGCGCGAAAGCUAGGGGAGCAAACGGG